rnacentral:ncRNA from 1 species
CCGGAGAAAUCCGAAAAGCCUAUAAAUGAGUAGGAA